CGAACGAGGUAGCAAUACUUAGUGGCAGACGGGUGAGUAACAUGUAGGUAUCUUCCCUUUGGUGAGGAAUAACACGAGGAAACUUGUGCUAAUACCUCAUAAGUCUUUACGGAGAAAGCUUUAUGCGCCAAUGGAUGAGCCUGCACUUGAUUAGUUUGUUGGUGGGGUAAUGGCCUACCAAGACAAUGAUCAAUAGCUGAUUUGAGAGGAUGAUCAGCCACAUUGGGACUGAGACACGGCCCAAACUCCUACGGGAGGCAGCAGUAGGGAAUCUUGCACAAUGGGGGAAACCCUGAUGCAGCGAUGCCGCGUGAGUGAAGAAGGCCUUUGGGUUGUAAAGCUCUUUCGUCGGGGAAGAAAAUGACUGUACCCGAAUAAGAAGGUCCGGCUAACUUCGUGCCAGCAGCCGCGGUAAUACGAAGGGACCUAGCGUAGUUCGGAAUUACUGGGCUUAAAGAGUUCGUAGGUGGUUAAAAAAGUUGGUGGUGAAAUCCCAGAGCUUAACUCUGGAACUGCCAUCAAAACUUUUUAGCUAGAGUAUGAUAGAGGAAAGCAGAAUUUCUAGUGUAGAGGUGAAAUUCGUAGAUAUUAGAAAGAAUACCAAUUGCGAAGGCAGCUUUCUGGAUCAUUACUGUCACUGAGGAACGAAAGCAUGGGUAGCGAAGAGGA
rnacentral:rRNA from 1 species